CUUCCAAGUGGGCCACCCACGCUGCGAGAAGUAGAAUCCGGUCAUCCGCCGUUUUCGCGCUAAACCAGCCCAACUCAAAACCAAACCGCCGCAAAAUUUUCUCCGAUCCCAUUUGGGAGUCAUCGUCGCCGCCGCCGCCGCCGCCGCGAGAGGGAUCCGAUCGCCGGUUCAUGGCUGGUGCAGCGGUGGAAAUGGGGCGAGGUGCCGGCGCCGGGAGCGUUGAACGCAUCGAGUGUCUCCUCCUGGCGUGGGGGUGGACACCAGCACAACCUCAAGUUGGAAGUGACAAUGUGAUGCCGCAAUCACGAACACAAGACACGUUGAUAAGCCUGCCGUUCUGAACGAAGGCAUUUGUAUGAUCCAAAUGUGAUCAUUUAAGUCAUUUAUUGCAAGGUAGCCUGGAUGAUGCAACGACAAAGAUCCAUAGAAGCUUCGAAUUAAUUGAGCUUACCCUAUCUUCAUGCUUUCUGUCAUACCAAAGCGGCCUGGUGGGUGCACUGGAGGUUAUAAUAUCUUUCUUUUACCUCUCUUGUUAGGUGCGGGUUGUGAUGCAAUGACAAAGAUCUUAGUUUUUUUUCCACCCGACCUACCUCAUUCUAGAAGGGGUAAUGCAGUCUUCAUCAUUGAUGUUACAGAUACAUCAUAUACCAUCUUUCAGUUGCUCAGACUGUUGUGUUAGGUAAAGCUAUACUGGGCUUUGCAUCAUGUCUGCAUGCCUCCACAAUAUCUCACCUACUUUAGUUUUUGGGUUUUGUGGGGUCCUUCUCAUGGGUAGAAAUAGAACCUUCGGUAGACCUAACCUACCCUAUCCUAUGUAGUAUGAAUUUCAAAACAUCUUUACUUUGUUUCGUCUCUUUUGCUUCAGAAAACAGAUUUAUCCAAAAAGUUUAUGUGGCCAUGACUUUCAGAAGCCAAAAAACAAUAAAAUAAAGUAGCCAAGCACGUGUCUCCCCACUCAUGCCA